AGCCGUAUUUUAAGCAGGUUUCAUUUAAAAAGAUAAUUGUAUUUUAUUAUAAUAAUUGUAUGUUAAACUUUAGUAAAACAUCUUAUAAAAGGUAAAUUUUAAUAUCUAAAUAUAAUUUGAGUUCAAGUUAUAUUUUCGAAAAGAAAAAAAAAUAAAGGAAAACAGAAAUUCUUCUCUCUCUUCGUGGCCUUGAUAUUGUGCUGCCAAGCAGGGGCGGACCUAUUAAGGGUCCUGGGUGGCACAGGCCCCACCAAAAAAAAUCAAUUUUCCUUUUUUUCUUAAUGCCAGACAAAUACAUAAUAUAAAAUUAAUACCCACACUGAAAAUUAAUACAACGUAGCUUUGGUCUGGUGGUAAAUUUACCAACAAAUUCUUGAAGUGCAUGUAGUACGCGGGUUCGAAUCCUUGCACCUUUUCCAAAUUCUUUUUCCUUUUAUUUUUUCUUUCUUCUUAAUUUGAUUGAUGCAUUAUUUUUUAUUUGUUUAUUUUACUUUUUACUUUUUGCUAUUUUCUUUUCUCUUUUACCACAUUUUCUUUUUUAUGUUAGAAAUAUUGAUCAUAUAAUGAAGGUAUAUCUAAUAUAUGAUUCAGAUAAUAUAAAGUUUGGUUUUCUUACCAUUAAAAUCAAAUUUCGCAUAUAUUAUUACGAUCAUUGUCUAUGUGCUUGGUUUAGUUAGGAGCCUGGGACCCCCCAAAUUCAAAAUCCUAGAUCCCCUGCUGCCAAGUUGAAGGAAAUGUUGAGCUGUCAACACAAAAGCCUCAUCAGAUUCUUUUUGUUAAUACAAAGAAAUAGCUAGAAACUCGUUUUGAACUUUUGGAAUUCAUCCACGAGAAUUCAAGAAACCCAAAACCCCAAUUCUUCAUUCUCGCAUCUCCUCUGUUUUCGUCAGUCUGUUCUGCAAUUUUCUCUAACAUGCAAUCCAAAUCUGCUCCUUGUUUCUUCAUCAAAGUUGUAGAUCUCUUCGAGCUAAUGAAUUUGGGCACAAAAAUCACUCGAUUCGGAGUUCGGAGCUAAGAGUUAUGCUCUCUGGAAGUUGUAGUUGUUGCUGCCACUAUUGCGGCGUUUUCCUCUCUCCUCUGCUUUCGCGGUGGUGCUGCCAUUGUUGUUAAGCUUGCUCAGUUUGAAGUUUAUUCAUAGGUGAAUUAUGUUGGAGUUCGAAUUGGAGUUGAAGAUCAAGAUUAUCAUAAAUGUUCAUGGAGAUUGCAUAUAAUUAUUCUUGAGUUUGAGGUAACCUUUAUGUUCAGCAAAACAUAUUUACAUGCCCGUGUGUGUAUGUUGUCUUUUUGAUAUCGUAUCAUUGUUUAUAGUCAUGGCCAUGGUUAUAGAUGCAUAUUUAUAAGUUAAUUGUGAAUUGAUAUUUGAUGGUUAUGAAAGAAUAAUACUUUUGUUAUGUUAUUGGAAUUGUUCGGAAACUAUAAAGUAUUCUAGAAAUGUGAUUUGAGUAUGAUAAUGAGAAAAUGUUUCGAAAUGGUUUUAGCUGGCUUAGUUUAUAAACUGAGAUGAAUAGUGGGCAAGGUACAAGUAGAGUAAAAUGAUUCGUAUAUGAGUUAAGACCAGAUAAGGUCAAAUAUUACGUUAAGUUAUGUUAUAAGCCUGUACUUGCCAGCGAUUUAUGUAAUGUGAUUAAGCUAUGCCAGCGAUAUAUUUAAAAGAUGAAUUAUUUCCGAACAAUUACCAAGUUGUUUCUGAUAUGAAAAAUAUUCACGAACCAAAACCGUUUUGACGGGCUGAAGUAAAGUUACUGAGUUUUUCGCUCAUUUUAGUUUUGUUUUUGUUUUGUAUUUUCUUCUGUAAUUUGCAGGUUUGUAUUUGGAGCUCAUAGUGGAUCGAAAGUAAAGAGUUAAUUAUUGAAUUGUAAAUAUAUUAGUGAUUCGAAGUUAGAUAUAGAAUAUAAGUUAUUGAAUAUAAAGUCCUCAUUUGGUGUUUAAGUAUUAUAUUGUUUUGGGAAUAAAGUAAAUUGUAAUCUGUUA